rnacentral:rRNA from 2 species
CUGGGUGUAAAGGGUGCGUAGGCGGCCGAUCAAGUCAGACGUGAAACUAUGGGCUUAACCCAUAACGUGCGUUUGAAACUGAGCGGCUUGAGUGAAGUAGAGGUAGUGGAAUUCCCGGUGUAGCGGUGGAAUGCGUAGAGAUCGGGAGGAACACCAGUGGCGAAGCGGCUUACUGGGCUUUAACUGACGCUGAGGCACGAAAGCGUGGGUAGCAAACAGGAUUAAUACCCUGGUAGUCCACGCUGUAAACGAUGAUUACUAGGUGUGGGGGGGGGACUGACCCCUCCGUGCCGGAGUUAACACAAUAAGUAAUCCACCUGGGGAGUACGGUCGCAAGGCUAAAAUCAAAGGAAUUGACGGGGGCCCGCACAAGCAGUGGAGUAUGUGGUUUAAUUCGAAGCAACCGAAGAACCUUACCAGGUCUUGACAUCGAGUGACGAGUCUAGAGAUAGGCUUUUCCUACGGACACAAAGACAGGUGGUGCAUGGUUGUCGUCAGCUCGUGUCGUGAGAUGUUGGGUUAAGCCCGCAACGAGCGCAACCCUUGUCAUUAGUUGCUACGCAAGAGCACUCUAAUGAGACUGCGUUGACAAAACGGAGGAAGGUGGGGAUGACGUCAAAUCAUCAUGCCCCUUAUGACCUGGGUACACACGUACUACAAUGGUCGCAACAGAGGGAAGCCACUCUGCGAAGAGGAGCAAAACCCAAAAGCGGUCUCAGUUCAGAUCGCAGGCUGAAACCCGCCUGCGUGAAGGAGGAAUUGCUGUAAUCGCGGAUCAGAAUGCCGCGGUGAAUACGUUCCCGGGCCUUGUACACACCGCCCGU